rnacentral:rRNA from 1 species
UACAGAGGUCUCAAGCGUUGUUCGGAAUCACUGGGCGUAAAGGGCGCGUAGGCGGCCUGGCAAGUCGGUGGUGAAAGCCUCGGGGCUUAACUCCGAGUCGGCCAUCGAUACUGCGAGGCUCGAGUCGACUAGAGGCAGAUGGAAUUCCGGGUGUAGCGGAUGGAAUGCGUAGAGAUCGGGAGGAACACCAGAGGCGAAGGCGGCGACCUGGACAAGUACUGACACUCAACGUACGAAAGCGUGGGGAGCAAACAGG